UGCCAGCCGCCGCGGUAAUACGUAAGUGGCAAGCGUUGUCCGGAAUCACUGGGUGUAAAGCGCAUGUAGGCGGCUUUGUAAGUCUGAGGUGAAAUCUGGGGGCUCAACCUCCAAACGGCCUUGGAAACUGCAGAGCUAGAGGGUCAGAGGGGAAAGUGGAAUUUCAGGUGUAGCGGUGAAAUGCGUAGAUAUCUGAGAGAACACCGAUGGCGAAGGCAGCUUUCUGGCUGGCUCCUGACGCUGAGAUGCGAAAGCUAGGGUAGCGAACGGGAUUAGAUA
rnacentral:rRNA from 1 species